GACGAACGCUGGCGGCGUGCUUAACACAUGCAAGUCGAACGGAGUGGCGAACGGGUGAGUAACACGUGGGUGAUCUGCCUUUCACUUCGGGAAAAGCUUGGGAAACUUGGUCUAAUACCCGAUAGUGCAUGCUGAGCUCGCGGCCUAUCGGCUUGUUGGUGGGGUAAUGGCCUACCAAGGCGUCGACGGGUAGCCGGCCUGAGAGGGUGUACGGCGACAUGGGGACUAAGGUAGGGCCCAGACUCGUACGGGGGGCAGCGGGGGCGAAUAUGGUACAAUGAGGGGAAGCCUGAUGCAGCGACGCGGGGGGGGGGAUGAAGGCCUGCGGGUUGUGAACGCCUUUAGACAGGGACGCGGUACCUGUAGAAGAAGCACCGGCUAACUACGUGCCAGCAGCCGCGGUAAUAC
rnacentral:rRNA from 1 species